GCAGUCGAGCGCCGUAGCAAUGACGGAGCGGCAGACGGGAGAGUAACACGUGGGAACGUGCCCUUUGGUUCGGAAUAACUCAGGGAAACUUGAGCUAAUACCGGAUAAGCCCUUCGGGGGAAAGAUUUAUUGCCAUUGGAGCGGCCCGCGUCGGAUUAGCUAGUUGGUGAGGUAACGGCUCACCAAGGCGACGAUCCGUAGCUGGUCUGAGAGGAUGACCAGCCUCACUGGGACUGAGACACGGCCCAGACUCCUACGGGAGGCAGCAGUGGGGAAUAUUGGACAAUGGGCGCAAGCCUGAUCCAGCCAUGCCGCGUGGAUGAUGAAGGCCCUAGGGUUGUAAAGUCCUUUUAACGGGGAAGAUAAUGACGGUACCCGUAGAAUAAGCCCCGGCUAACUUCGUGCCAGCAGCCGCGGUAAUACGAAGGGGGCUAGCGUUGCUCGGAAUUACUGGGCGUAAAGCGCACGUAGGCGGACCGAUAAGUCGGGGGUGAAAUCCUGGAGCUCAACUCCAGAACUGCCUUCGAAACUGCCGGUCUUGAGUUCGGGAGAGGUGAGUGGAACUGCGAGUGUAGAGGUGAAAUUCGUAGAUAUUCGCAAGAACACCAGUGGCGAAGGCGGCUCACUGGCCCGAUACUGACGCUGAGGUG
rnacentral:rRNA from 1 species